rnacentral:rRNA from 1 species
AUUGAACGCUGGCGGCAGGCUUAACACAUGCAAGUCGAACGAGUGGCGGACGGGUGAGUAAUGCUUGGGAAUCUGGCUUAUGGAGGGGGAUAACGACGGGAAACUGUCGCUAAUACCGCGUACCAUAGGAUGAGCCCAGGUGGGAUUAGGUAGUUGGUGGGGUAAUGGCUUACCAAGGCGACGAUCCCUAGCUGGUCUGCGAGGAUGACCAGCCACACGGGAACUGAGACACGGCCCGGACUCUUACGGGAGGCAGCAGUGGGGAAUAUUGCGCAAUGGGGGCAAGCCUGACGCAGCCAUGCCGCGUGAAUGAAGAAGGCCUUCGGGUUGUAAAGUUCUUUCGGUGGCGAGGCGUUAAUCACAGAAGAAGCACCGGCUAACUCCGUGCCAGCAGCCGCGGUAAUAC